UGGGGAAUAUUGCACAAUGGUGGAAACCCUGAUGCAGCGACGCCGCGUGAGGGAAGAAGGUUUUCGGAUUGUAAACCUCUGUCCUUGGUGACGAAAAUGACGGUAGCCAAGGAGGAAGCCACGGCUAACUACGUGCCAGCAGCCGCGGUAAUACGUAUGGAGCAAGCGUUAUCCGGAUUUACUGGGUGUAAAGGGAGCGUAGGCGGCAUGGCAAGUCUGAUGUGAAAUCCCGGGGCUCAACCCCGGAGCUGCAUUGGAAACUGUCAGGCUGGAGUGUCGGAGAGGUAAGUGGAAUUCCUAGUGUAGCGGUGAAAUGCGUAGAUAUUAGGAGGAACACCAGUGGCGAAGGCGGCUUACUGGACGACAACUGACGCUGAGGCUCGAAAGCGUGGGGUAGCAAACAGGAUUAGAUACCC
rnacentral:rRNA from 1 species